AUAUUGAUUUGGCAGAUUAGUGCAUUAAAUUUAGAAUUUAAAUAUGUAUUUUUACAAUCAAUA
rnacentral:tRNA from 1 species